CCAUGCCCGCUCCCUACGGCCCCGCCGCCGGUUCCCCUGGUGUUAGCGCCUGCCCGCCCAGGCGGUAUCGGAGGGAGGCAGGAGCUGGCUUUUGUCCUCCGGAGCCCCGGCCCCGCGGGGGUGCGUCGGUGCGGGCUCAGAAGCGGGAGGCUGCUGUCAUUAGGGAGUGAGGAUCUCCAGGAAGUGAUUGGAUCCAUUUUAUAACAGAUUGUAGGGUCAAUUCCUAAUGAAGUUGACAUAAUCAAAUCAAACUGAACUGAGUGAUCCAGCAUGGUCUCAGCACGAAAUUUUAAAUUGUCUCGGUUCAAGAAGAAAAGCUGCCUAGUAAAGGAGUGGGAAAUAAAUUGGUCCUCAAAUCACGGCUGGUUUUGGGCAAAAUCAUACUGCCUAAUUUAUGUGACCUUU